rnacentral:rRNA from 1 species
UACGUAGGGUGCAAGCGUUGUCCGGAAUUAUUGGGCGUAAAGAGCUCGUAGGCGGUCUGUCGCGUCGGCUGUGAAAACCCGGAGCUCAACUCCGGGCCUGCAGUCGAUACGGGCAGACUGGAGUUCGGCAGGGGAGACUGGAAUUCCUGGUGUAGCGGUGAAAUGCGCAGAUAUCAGGAGGAACACCGGUGGCGAAGGCGGGUCUCUGGGAAGUAACUGACGCUGAGAAGCGAAAGCGUGGGUAGCGAACAGG